AAAAAUACGAAAAAACUUUACAAAAAUAUUAUCUUAUUUAAGCGAAAAAGGAAGAUACUACAAAAAAUACUCAGAUUACAUUUUUUCUGUAUUACUCUAAACUAUAAAAUAUAUAAAAUCGAUUUGUAGAUUUCCUAUAGGAAUCCCAGGAGAGAUUGGAAGGGUCUUAAAAUAUUACGAAACACUUACUAGAAACGAUUUCACUUUGGAAAAAAUCUCAAGAACUAAGAGACAAACUGAAUCUCCCACAUUUUCCCAAAAAUUAAAUAUAAGACUGUUUGGAAAAAACCUUCAGUUACAUGUAAAUCCUGAGAAAAAUGUUAUGAGUAAAGAUUUUCAAAGUUUUGUUAAAAGCACGAAACAUUUUGAAGAAAAGUACAUUGAGCAUCCAAAGUUUUAUAAAGGAUAUGUAAAAGGCUUAAAGAAAAGCACAGUUAGAAUUCACUUUAUAGCUAACGAUGUAUUUGCAGCAAUUGACUUACCAGAAGAGCACAUCUUUAUUGAGGUGAUAAUCUUUAAACAAAAAAUAUAUAUCAUAAAUUUUAUAUAUAUAGCCUUCUUGGAAGUUCUUGCCCUUAUCAUCAAAUUAUUCCUUAAUUGCAUAUAGAACAUCACAGUUAUCGUCAACUGAUAGGUACUGUAGUAUACUUUUUAUAAUGCUUUUUAGAUAGUUUUCUCUAUUUAAAUUAAGACUCAAAUGUGGAUUUGUGGAUCCGAAUUUAGCUGAAGAGCCGAAAAAUCAACACGGUAUUUUUUUUCUUUAAAACACUUUAGUUAGUCAUAGAUUAAGUUUGUGUCCUAAUACUUAGUCCAAACUCAUCGAGCGAAAAGAAAUACAAUUGCAAAUCGGGUUUGUAAGCUGCUUUUAGUCGCUGAUUACAAAUAUUUCGUAGAGGUUGGGAAAAAAUCCUUUUCCGAAACAGUCAAUAAUAUGAUAUCUAAAAUAACUGAGGUAGACGCAAUUUAUCGUGCAACAGAUUUUAGGAAUGGAUAUAAGAAUAUCGGUUUUGAAAUUCAAACGGUUGUAGUUCAUGAUGAGUUCACAAAAAAUUCUGGAGAAAAUCAUUAUAAUAAGGACAAAUCAAAUUGGACUGCAAAAGAAUUACUGAGAGCAUUCGGAUCGGAUAAAAGUUUAAAACAUGAAAAUUAUUGCGCUGCACAUCUUUUUACAGCGACAAAAUUUUCAGAUGGUAUUCAAGGUGUUGCAUGGAUAGCAAAAUCUGGCGCAGUUGGCGGAAUUUGUGCUCCAGGAAGUGGUAGUACUAAAUAUAAUACGGGUUGGUCAACAGCAAUAGAUAAAUAUGGUAAUAGAAUAUUAACUUUCGAAAGUAUUCUAGUUGCAGCACAUGAAUUAGGGCACAAUUUCGGAAGCCAACAUGAUCCUCCAUCAUGUGCCACUGAUAAGAAUAAUUUAUUUUUAAUGUACACUUACGCAGUGUCAGGUAAACAAUCAAAUAAUCAAAAAUUUUCUCAAUGUAGUAUUGAUCACAUAUCAAAAGUUUUAAACAGCAGAGGCAGUUCUUGUUUAAAGGAACCAUCAACUUCCUUUUGUGGUAAUUACAAAAAAGAGGAUGGUGAGGAUUGUGAUGUUGGAAAUGUUGCCGAUGAUAAAUGUUGCACUACUAAUUGUAAAUUUAAAACAAAUGCUGUAUGCAGCGAUAGAAAUUCUCCUUGUUGUUUUGAAUGUACUUAUGCUAAUUCGUCAGUAAAAUGUUUGGAUCAGUCCAAUGUACUUAAUUGUAAAAAAAAUUCAUUCUGUACUGGUAAAUCACCAGAAUGCCCUGACCCAAAAUUUGAAGUUGACGGAUCAUCCUGUAUCGAUAGUGGAAAAUGUAAAAAGGGCUCUUGUCAACCAUUCUGUGAAAGUUUGAACAAAAAUAGUGCUUCUUGCCUAUGUGCUAAUGAAAAUUCUUGUUCUAUAUGCUGUAGCGUAAAUAACGGUACAUGUGAAGUGCACAGAGAAAAUGGGAAAAAAUUAUUACUAUCUGAUGGCAGGCCAUGCUUUGAAGGGAUUUGUGAGAAAGGAAUAUGUCAAAAAACUAAACCUGUUGUAAAUAAGCUUUGGGAUAUUUUGAAAAAAUUAAGCGUUAAUGAUAUAAUUGAAUUUUUUAAGAAAAAUUUGGUUCUCAUGGUUAUAAUAUUUUUCUCUGUAAUUUAUAUACCAAUCACAAUUAUCAUAUCGUGUAUCGAUUAUAAGAGAAAAGAAGAUGAGAAAUCACAUAGACGAUGGAAAUAUGAAAUGCCGAACCAGAUAUUUUUAAGCAAUAGUGAUAAGUUAACUAUAAAGGCUACACGAAGUAAAAGAAGAGAUAACUAUAUGGUUAAGAAAGAUGAAGAAAAUCAAAAAAUUAAGAAAGAAAAAGUGUCAAAACAGAGAAAUAAAGUUCAUCCGUCAAACACAAAUUAUAAUAUAUAACUAUGUUUGUUAGACAUAUAUUUCCAAAUUAAGAGACAUUUUUUUUCUACAAUAAUGAAACAUAAUAGUAAAAAAGACAUCAUAAAUACACAAUUUUCUUUAAUACUCCAAGAAAUUACGUUGAAGAUUUUUGUGGUUUCAAAGUGCUGAAAAUUGUAAUUCUGCACGCUGUUCUUUAUAGGAAUUUAUAAAAAAAAUAGCAUUCGACUUUCCUCAAUUCUUUCACAGAAAUCUAAAAAGUUUUUAGUGGAAAGCCAAUUUUCAGUUAGUCUACGAAAGGUACUCUUCUUAUCCUCGUAAUUAUAUUGAUUUAUCAAGCUUCUUCUAUUUAAAAAAAACUAUUCCUAUAAUUAAACUGGCUCCAGAAAGUAGCCUGAUUUUUCUUUACUACAAAAAAUAAAUACCAUGUUACUUAAAGAAAUGAUGCAAAUGAAUUUUUUUUUUUCAUAGUCACGGAUAUA
rnacentral:misc_RNA from 1 species